rnacentral:lncRNA from 1 species
UAUAUGAUGAUUAAUACAUUGUUCCUUUUGUUCUUUCUUAUUCUACUUGGUUAACUUCCUAGUUUAUCCAAUGAGAGAUGGCUUCUCCUCUGAAGAAUGCUCUGCUACAUGUGGCUCUAUCCUACACGUGUGUCUGUUUUGAGGACUAUUAUAAAAAGGAUAAUGAGGUGGUGGCACUACCUGCCUGUAUUGGAAUUGAGUGGCUCACAGAUUCUAAUUUUCUAGAUGGUCUAAAUGUUGUUCUUGGAUCAGGUAAGCAGAUGGUGCACGUCUGA